rfam:Picea glauca, whole genome shotgun sequence.
GGGUGCGAUCAUACUAGCGUUAAUGCACUAGAUCCCAUCAAAACACCACAGUUAAGCAGGCUUGGGCUAGAGUAGUACUGGAAAGGGUGAACUUUUCGGAAGUCCUAGUGUUGCACCCU